UGAACAUAAAGAAUAUAGAUCGAAUGCAAAUAGUAUAACAGAUUUACAAUAUAUGAUCCAUACCACAAAUUACAAAACCAACAAUCACUAUACAUAUAAAAGUAAUAUACGUAACUAUAUGUUUUUUUUUUUUUUGGUCUAAUGUAAAAAGGAGGACAGAAUUACAUAAAGCUCUUCAGUUAAUUUUCACAGUUCCAUCUUGAUGUACGCAAACAGCUUAAAUAACGACACCAAUCGCAAUGCUCAUUUGCCUUCACACCUCUAAAUAACAUCACCAAUCCCACAGUGAAUCCGACAAUCAACAAAAUCGAGGCAAUCAGCAGGAGGACGUAUUGGUAAGCUUUGAACUUGGACUUGAGACGACCUUCAGCUGGAAGAUGUUGCCUUUCGAGCCAACCAAACUGAGGUCGUAGUAGCAGAACAAAGCCAAGAAGAAAACCACCCAUGAAACCUCCAAUAUGGGCAUAGUUAUCGACAUGAGGAAGAAGACCAACAGCUAAGUUAAUCGCGAUGAUGAUAAUGAGAGUGAUAAGAGCUGCAGCCUUAUUGGUAUAUAUACUCCAGUUAGUAAGAAGCUCCGAUAACAUUGCUCCCAGAAGUCCAAAUAGAGCACCAGAAGCUCCAACAGAGAUGCUACCUUGAAUGAAAAGGCAAGAAAGAACACUGCCACCAAUUCCUGACAAAACGUAGAUAAUCCCCACCCGGACAAAUCCAAACUGCUGCUCGAGGCGAAUACCAAUG
rnacentral:misc_RNA from 1 species